CCUGCAUCGGUUCAAAAACAGAGAGGGACGCAAGACCACACUCAACAAGAGCUGAUAGAAAAGUCUAAGCAAGAGAUUUUCCUGUAGUCAUGCAGUCUCAAGUUUCAGUUGUGCAGGAUGGCUAAUGAGUGGAGUGAUGAAUUUUCU